rfam:Salmo salar isolate Sally breed double haploid chromosome ssa03, whole genome shotgun sequence.
AAUGCACCAAUUUGUAAGUCGCUCUGGAUAAGAGCGUCUGCUAACUGACGUAAA